ACCGGCGCAAGGGUGCGUAACGCGUGAGCAACAUGCCCGUAUCAGGGGGAUAAUCCAGGGAAACUUGGUCUAAUACCCCAUAGUAAGUUUUUGAGGCAUCUCAAGGAUUUUAAAGCUUUGGUGGAUACGGAUUGGCUCGCGUGACAUUAGCUAGAUGGUAAGGUAACGGCUUACCAUGGCUACGAUGUCUAGGGGUUCUGAGAGGAAGGUCCCCCACACUGGAACUGAGACACGGUCCAGACUCCUACGGGAGGCAGCAGUGAGGAAUAUUGGACAAUGGAUGGAAAUCUGAUCCAGCCAUGCCGCGUGCAGGAAGACGGCCCUAUGGGUUGUAAACUGCUUUUGUAUGGGAGCAAUAAGAUCUACGUGUAGAUUGAUGAGAGUACCAUACGAAUAAGCACCGGCUAACUCCGUGCCAGCAGCCGCGGUAAUACGGAGGGUGCAAGCGUUAUCCGGAUUUAUUGGGUUUAAAGGGUGCGUAGGCGGUUUGAUAAGUCAGCGGUGAAAUAUUUCAGCUUAACUGGAAGGGUGCCGUUGAUACUGUCAGGCUUGAAUUUAGUUGCUGUGGGUGGAAUGUGUGGUGUAGCGGUGAAAUGCAUAGAUAUCACACAGAAUAUCGAUUGCGAAGGCAGCUCACAAAGCUAAUAUUGACGCUGAUGCACGAAAGUGUGGGGAUCAAACAGGAUUAGAUACCCUGGUAGUCCACACUGUAAACGAUGAUAACUCGCUGUCGG
rnacentral:rRNA from 1 species